AAAAUGCGAUACUUGGUGUGAAUUGCAGAAUCCCGUGAACCAUCGAGUUUUUGAACGCAAGUUGCGCCCGAAGCCAUCCGGCUGAGGGCACGCCUGCCUGGGCGUCACGCAUCGCGUCGCUCCCGACCAUACCUCCCCAACGGGUUGGCAUGGUGUUGGGGGCGGAUAAUGGCCUCCCGUGCUUGUGUUUCGGUUGGCCUAAAUAAGAGUUCCCUUCGGCGGACACACGACUAGUGGUGGUUGAAUAGACCCUCGUCUUUUGUUGCGUGUCGUGAGCUGUAAGGGUAGCCCUCAUCAAAGACCCCAUUGUAUCGUCUUCGGAUGAUGCUUCGACCGCGACCCCAGGUCAGGCGGGACUACCCGCUGAGGUUAAGC
rnacentral:misc_RNA from 1 species